UAAGUGUGGAGCCAGAUGCGGGACUCCAUCUCACAACCCUGAGAUCAAGACUUGAGCUAAAAUCAAGAGUCGGAAGCUUAAGUGACUGAGCCACCCAGGUGCCCCCAGACCUUAUUCAUCUUAAAGCUGAGAUUCGGUCCCCUUUUACCACUAUUCCCGCCACCCCCUGACAACCACUUUUCUACUCUGUUUCUAUGGGUUUGACUCAUAUGUGUUUUUCUUUUUUGGUUCCACAUAUAAAUGACAUCAUGUAGUAUUUGUCUUUGUCUGGCUUAUUUCACUAAUUUGCUUAUUAGUUACACAUUUCUCUAUUCUUGUAUUCUCAUUUGUUUUAAUUUACUCUUAUUGCCAUUUUAAUUUCAAUCUUCACCUUUCAUUUUUUAAUUUUUUCCUGAUGUGAAGAAAAAAUAUUCCCCAAAAGGUAUUUUUGACCAAAAAAAAAAAAAAAAAACCUAUAUUGUGUAAACCCUUCCCACCUUCUAGAGGAGAGAAUGAUCAUUUUUAUUGGCAGGGCAAUGGUGAAGGGGUGCAAGAUUAGAGCAGUUAACACAGUGUUGUUCAUUUUAAAAAGGAGGAGGCAGCUCUAGAAGGGGUCCAGGGAGAAGAGACUGGUGGACGGAAAGAGAUUUCGCGGGCAUUCUGAGUGGAAGGGAAUCGCACAGUGCUGCCCAGUCUGCAAUGUAAUCACCUCUCAGACACCUCCACAGAACUUUCAAUAUGAUCUGUAUGGUUCAUCAUGCCAGUAAUUAAUCUCUCAUUUCUCAGUUUCAAAUCUACCCUUCCAGAUACUUUCUCCUGCUGCCUGGGCAGCUAUCCAGGUCAGCAAGACCCUCCGCUUCUCUCUGAGGCUCUGCGCACCUGGGAAAUCAGAAAAAAGCUGCAAACCUGGAGAGGUAGCGGGGCUCCUUUCUUCCUGUCUGCCUCUUGUUCUGUCUACAUCCCUGCAGUCCAGCUGCCUCCACCUGCCAGAGCAUUAGGGUCCAGCAACAGCAGCAGCUGAAUCCACUUUGCAGAUUUUCCAGCAGCGACAGAAUGAGCCUUAUGAUGAUGGGCUCAAAGACACCAAUGCCUCCUCCUUAGAGAUGAAGGUCCAAGCCCACAGACCCCUCCUUCCUGCUAGCACCCAGGGUCCCCUCUUCAGAGUUUCAGCUCCAUGCCUCCAGGCUUCUCAGACUAAUGGUCCCAGCUUGUCCCUUGGCUCCCCUAUCCCAGGAACGGUAACUGUGUCCUGCAACGGCCACCUCUUUGAUCUCUUUGUUUCCCCCUCGUUGCCCUCCAAGUCACCCAAUUAAUGAUUCUUUAUGCCAAGUUCUCACUGUUCAAAUAACUGGCAUGGGCUCCAUCCCCUAACUGGACCUGGACUGAUACACCUUCUGAUGUAUAAAAAGUGCAUUUUCUUCUUGGGAGGAUGGCAAACAAUUCUGAGUAUGCCUUUGGCGUUGGCUGGGUGGAUGAAAUCAUCUCGUCUCAGAAAGUGACAGUUCUGUUUGAGUUAUCCUCGUGUUGCCUGCCCCUUCAGUUACCUUUUGUUUCCAUGAUCUUUGAAUCUACUUUUCAUUAUGUCCAACAAAAAGCGUGGUCUGAGAGACAAAAGCUCCUAACCAAACCGAGGAAACUGCUGCUCUGCUCUGCAGAUGAUACUGGAGCCACCCUGAGAAAUGAGGGUGCUCCUGGUCAAGACCUCGCUGCAGCUGUGAGUCUCUCUAUACAGGUGCCAUGUGGCAUUAUUGCAGUAGGCUUGCUCCCUGACACCUCACACUAACCACUCCAUGUAGGAGGACUUCCAUGUUUUUGAAAUCCACAGAUGGGACACAUGGAUGGCUCAGUGGUUGAGCAUCUGUCUUCGGCUCAGGGUGUGAUCCCAAGGGUUCUGGGACCAAGUCCCCACAGGGAGUCUGCUUCUUCCUCUGCCCAUGUCUCUGCCACUCUGUGUCUCUCAUGAAUAAAUAAAUAAAUAAAAUCUUUGGGGGAAAAAAAAGAAAGAAAGAAAUCCACAGAGAGCCAUUGGAUUUUGGAAACCAAGUCAAUGGUGUACUGCAAGGCAAUGGUGGACGGGAGUAUGCAACCAGUGUGCAGCAGCGUCCUGUCUGUGCCAGGACUGACUUUGGCCAAGAAGCAGGAAGUGGUGAUGCCCUGGGGAUACUGAAGACAGGAAAGUUGCUCUGAGGUGUCUAUACAAUGAUGGCUGUCCUCACCCCAAGCACCUGGUUCUGACUGAAUAGUCACCAUGUGGCUCAUGACUGUGUUUCUUACAUUUUUUUAAAAUUUAUUUAUGAUGGUCACAGAGAGAGAGAGAGAGAGAGAGUGAGAGAGGCAGAGACACAGGCAGAGGGAGAAGCAGGCUCCAUGCACCGGGAGCCCGAUGUGGGAUUCGAUCCCGGGUCUCCAGGAUUGCGCCCUGGGCCAAAGGCAGGUGCCAAACCGCUGCGCCACCCAGGGAUCCCUGACUGGGUGUUUCUAACUUGUGCUAUCACACACAUGGCAGGGGGCAUCCAAUGAACAUCUGACUCAAAAUAAUAGUAGAUUCUGGAAAGCAUCUAGAUCCUAGAAAGUAGGCAGUGAUGUUAUUAAUCAACAAUAACACUGCCAAAUGGCUUCUGCCACUGAUCACACACAGAACAGAUAUUAACUCUGCUAAUUUACUUCCAUUUCCUUACAGUCCUGUUUGGGUUUUGAAUCAGUUAAGUGCUUCCCACAGACGUCACAUGCCUUGUGUGUCAUCUUGCCAUUUGGCUCUGUUCAAACUUUAUUAGAAAUCUUUGCCAUUUUCCCCUUUCUUCCGUUUAUGCAUUUACAGGGAGGAGUAGCGGAUGGAAGAGGUCUUUCUAGGCAAUGGGAAAUUAGUGUUGUACUUUGGAUAGCCAACUUUCUCAUUCAACCAGGUGCCUUUACUUUGAGAAAUUACUGGAAAGAAGAAAGGGAGGCUCCUUUAAAAAUGUCACUAAGUCCAUCCAGAAAUAAUGAUUAAUUAGGAGAAUGAGGCUCUUUGGAAGAGUGGAAACUAUGCAGGCUAAACAAUCUUCUGUCAAGAAGCUGUCAUACUUGAUCAGCGCCUGGAGAGAAAGAUGAAAACGUCACGCUCACAUCUGUGGAGCUGGGAUGAACAGGGAGAAAUCGAGAAGAUUAAGCAGAGAGCUUUCAUGCCCGAGAUAACCCAGCUGUGUGAAAAAUCAAGUCUAUUGAACACGAAAGCACUGAACCACCAAAAUAACUGCUUUAACCAGGAAGGAAGGGAAUAAAUGCCCCAGCAAAGCACAGACAGUGACGCAGACUCGGCCGCAUUUCAAACAAAUUCAUGACUCUCUCUCCACCCCUGAGGCGCCUCUGCCUCUGUCCUACUAAAGUUCUGCUCACUCCUUCUUUUUUGAAUAAACAGUAACACCUUA